UAUUUAGCCAAAUAGAUCUUUCAGAAGUAGCACCUCCAUUGUUAAAAAGAACUAGAUACUUUUCCUGAGUGGCAUGAUAUUGUAAGCCACGAAUUGAGUUCAUCUCCUUGUAAUCAACUUCAUGUUACUAUAACAAGUACUCAGACAUACAACUUACAAAGAAAAUCAAUUUAUUUUGGAUUACAGCUUUGGCGGCUUCAAUCCAAGAUUCAUUGGCCAUGUUGCUUUGGGCCUAUGGUAAGGCAGUGCACCGUGGCAUAUGGUGUGGAAGAGCAAACUCUCUAACUUCAAGGCCAGGAAGAAAAGGAGAGGCAAGAAGAGAACAGGCUCCCACAAUUCCCUUUGUGUUUGCAUGACCAGUGACCAGAGGAUAUCCCAUUACGCCCCAACUCCUAGAGGCCCACCACCUCCCAGUGGCGCUGUGUUGUGGAUGAAGCAUUUUCCAUGUGAGCCUUUGGUGACAGUCCAGUUCAAGCACUAGCAACUGCUGUUAUGGCUGCAUGGAAUUGAGAGGUUGGCAGGACUAAGUCUGGGAGAUUCAGCCAGAAAAGUAGUGCUCAAGGGAAUGUGGAGCCCAAGGAAACCAUGAGGAGGUGUAAAGGUUGGAAGGGGUCCUCAGAACGGAGCCAGCCUUGCCCCCGAGGUCAGAACAGAGGACAGGACACAUCCUAGCACAGGUCUGUCUUCCAGAUGUGGGGUGUCGGGGGCAGGAAGGUGGAGAAAGACAGACUGACUAAGCUGACUCCAGAAGUGUCAGAUUGCAGUCAAGACAGCAGGCAAGUGAAUUGGUUUCAACAAAUAACCAGGGAAGACGGAGGGGCUCACCAGAAAGUUACAAGAAUCUCCCAAGCUGCCUGCAAGUUAUACGAGAACUCCCGUGAUCCAGGCUUUGAGAGGUUUCAGCUGCCCACACUGCUUUCACAAGCCUUCAGUGAGGGAAGUCAAGGCAGGAACUUGGAAAGACGAACAGAAGUAGAGGAACGCCACUUACUGGCACUGUAACCAAGAAAACGUACCACAGACUUGAUGGCGGCAAUUCCUCAGUGGAGGUUUCCUCUCCCCAGAUGACUCUAACUUGUGUCAGGGUGAUAAUAAAGCAACCAGCACAAAACUCUCCCAGCUUGGAAAGGCCUCUCUUCUCUCUCUGUCUUCACCUGGUGUUGUGUCCCUCUGAAUGUGUGUAAAUUUCUUCUUGUUUAAAAACACUUUGUGGUGGGGCGUAUGUGUAUACCACAGCACACAUGUGGACGCUAGAAGACAAUCUGUAGAUGUCAGUUCUCCCCUUCCCAGGAACCAAUCGUAGGUCAUCGGCCCUGGCAGUGAGUGCUUUACCUACUCAACAAUCUUGCCCACUCAGUUUCAUCUUACAGGUGCAUCAGGAGCUGGGCGGUGGUGGCACAAAGCUUUAAUCCCAGCACUUGGGAGGCAGAGGCAGGGUUCAGAUCCACUCUAAUGGCCUUGUUUUAACUCUAAAAGACACACCUCCCGGACCUGCCACUUUCUGAUAUAAUUGGAGCUAUGACUUCAACAUGAAUUCCAG
rnacentral:lncRNA from 1 species